UUACCACUCAGAUAAUCUGUAGGCACAAAUAUCACCGUGAUGUAGCCCCCAAAAGUCUACAACGGUGGGCAUUCAGUCCCCGCUAUUUCGUGUGGUGUAGCCCAUAGGAGUUUUGGAUCUGCCUGAGCUUUAGCAUCCUCUCCUAUCGUGGUCUUACGAAACUGAUGGACGGAGUGGAUUUGUCACGAGCAUCUGUUGCCCCUAACAGCUUCCGGGGCACAGUAACUUUCCCGUGCCCGCACUCCGCGUCGGUUCUGUUGUAGGUCGAGAGCGUGGAAAGCUUUUGCGUCAUAUCAUUCAAGAUGUUUCCGCUCAAAAACCAUCUCUUGUCGAACCCCAGGAUUCCAUUUCCACGGGCAAAGGUACCGACGUUUCUUUCUCCUCUUUCCCUUCUUUCUUUCUUCAUACUGUUUCACAUUCCCUAUUGCUUUAUUCCAGCUGAGUUUUUCAUUUUGAGUUCAUUACAACAAGCCCAAAUGAUGUAAACGAACAAGGUGCAGGUACUUUGUAGAUUUGGGGCCAACUUCAUUUGGGAAUCAAAUAAGGUUUUAUACAAGGGAGGCACGGACCGCAUUGUUUAUGUCGAUUGAGUUAUUGAUUACCUCAAUCUUCUAUCCAACUUGCAAAUUCCAUGCACUUUGGAUAAAAGAUUGAGGUAAUUGAUUGCCCGAUUGUUAAAAAAAUAUUUGCAAGCUGACCAACAUUAGCAGCAUCAGGUACAAAUAUCUUGGUGUAGAUUUGGAUUCACUUGUGUCGAUUGAGAUUGAUGACGUAUUAUCUGAUAUGAUGGACGCAUUUCCUCAAAGCAGCGAGCAUCUUCACCUAUAUGUUUUUGGUGCCCAAAAAUCUUUCAAUCGCCAUUUUGAUUCCCAGGUAGUACUUCAAUACAAAUUUGUUUGUGUUCUCAGUUAUGUAGUUCAUUGAUUAUUUCUCACUUGUUUCUGUGUUUGUUUCUUCAGUAACCUUAUAUAGAAUGUCGACACUGGAAAUGUUCAAGUAUCAUUGCAGGAUUUAUGUGGAAGUAAUGAAACACUUGCACCUUCCUCACAUAAUACUAAUGCCAAUAACAAUGAUGUUCCAAGUGCAUCAAGUGACUUGCAUGAAACAUACUGCUUGUUGAUGGAUAGUUGUGUUAAUGACAUGCAAAAACUGAUGUUGAUCUUAAAAGAAGGCCAAGAAUUCGAAGAUGCAAAUGCUUUCUACAAGGCUUUAAGGGAUUAUGCCAUGCGUUUGAAUUUCCAGUACAAGCAAACCAGGUCAAGCAGUGGCCAUUAUCAGGCGAAUGCAUUAAAGGCGAUUGCUCAUGGCGCAUACAUGCAUGUAAGCUUCCUGACAAGCCUAUAUUCAAGAUAAAAUCCUUGGAAGGGAAACCAUACUUGUAAUGUUGUGGAUGAGUCAACAAUGUCAAACACCACAACACAUUGACAAACUGGUAUGAAGGAUUGCUGCUUUAGACAAGGAUCGACUCUAGAAAAAUUUACGCUAUCCACCCAAAGAUAUUUUCAAUGAGAUUAGUCGAGAAUAUAGGAUCAAAGUAAGUAAUGAUAAAGCUUGGAGGGGUAAAGAAUUGACACAGAGAUGAACUAUGGACCACCCAUUAUGACUCUUACGGCGAUUUGGGAAAAAAUACAAACAACAAAUCCAGGAAGCAUGACAAAGCUUAGCAGGUCAUUAAACGAUUCCUUGAGACUUUUUGUUGCAUAUAAGGCUGCCAUCCGUGGUUUCAAGCAAGCAUGUACACCACCUGUGAUGCUUGAUUGUAGAAAAUGAAAGCGGACAACCGCAAUCUGUGGUGACUUGGCUCUAAUGUGGAAUGCUAAAUUAUAGAUCACAGCUGGGUAUUUCGACAAACAUUCCCAACCAUAUGUAUUAAUGACAUGCAUAUGGAAAGAUACCAUUAACAACUUAAAGAAUCCCUUCCCGGUUAUUUGAUGUAAACGUUAAUUUAGCUAUGCAUCUCAAGACUUGAGCCAACACAGCACAGAACCAUUUCUAACUCCCUACAUUCUUCAAUUCAACAAAUGCACAUAAGACUGGGAACCCAUUGUCUUCUGCAUCAAAGGCCAUGGCAAAGAGCCACACUACUGGGCAUUUAUUGUGGUUUCACUUUCACUAUUUAUUUCCCAUUUUAAAGGCUGAUAAUGACUUCAUAUUUCAAAUUUUGAUAGGAACUUCUGGUUUGCCCUAUAUUCUUUUUGUAUGCAAUCUAUUUUCUGAUACACUGACUAAUUUUAAAAUUUCAGUAUUGUUGAGCCUUUUGAAGAUGUUAUCGAUCUAAAAGGAGAUCCUGAUGAUGUUUCAAUUAGUAAGAGAGAUGUUGAGCUAUUGCAACCAGAGACAUUCAUCAAUGACACUCUCAUUGACUUUUAUCUUAAGUUGAAAAGCAUGAACUUUCAUGGCUCUCUUUUGUUCCUUGAAGUCUUCUAAUCAUAUCCAUUUUGCUGUAUACUUAAAGAAUAAAGUCCAACUUGAGAACAAGCAUAGGUUCCAUUUUUCCAAUAGUUUUUUCUUCCACAAGCUAGCUGAUCCAGACAAGGAUGCAGGAAAUGUAAAAGAAGGGAGGGGAGCUUUCCUACAUGUUCGUAAAUGGACAUGGAAAAUAAAUAUAUUUGGAAAAGAUUACAUCUUCAUACCUGUAAAUUUCAAGUAAGAAAAAUUUUGCUUGAUGCAUAUUUUAUGCUUAUGAAUAAGUUAACUCUGAUAUUCCAAAUUUGUGCAUUGAUGUAUAUUGGACAACAGUCUUCAUUGGAGAAGUAGCUUAUUUUGAAGGAAAGCGUCCAGUAUUUGCAGAAUCUCCAUUUCUUUCUCAAGUACGAUUGUCUCUCUUUCGUUCAUGCUAUGCUUUUGUCUUUCAGAUGAAGAAAUCGAAAAGGCACCAAAGUACCAUGCAUAGUGCACAUGGAUUCUAUUAAAGGUCUAAAGACUCUUAUUCAAAGGUGAAUGGUCUCCUUCAAUUUCCGUCCUAGUUUAUGUUUAUGUAGGUUGUCUUAUCCUUUUAUUCAAGGAUGGAAUUUUUUUUUUUUUAAUCCAUUAUCUUGAUGGAUACUUGUAAUCUUUAACCUCGUUCUAAUAAAAUUACUGUUGUUGAUCGUUAUCGCCAUCACAA